CCCCCUCUCUCUCGGGCAGGGAAGGGCUGAUGGAACUCCUUGUGCCAGGACGACGGCGCCAGUGCGCUCUCUCUCUCUCGCGGCAGAGGACCCCGAGCCGCUGCUUCCCUCCUGAGCCGGGUGAGCAUGAAACCUGGGAAAUUUAAGGGACAUCAUCAAUAAGGGACAGCAGCGGGACACGGCACUGGGAUAAGGGAGUUUCCCGCCAAAUAAGGGACGGUUGACAGCUAUGCUGAUAAUGACUCGUGCCCUUUGCGUCCCGUCCCCCCUGCUCCAUUGGUGGGUAGUGCUGAGGCGGAACGGGUUUGUGAGGGGAGAAAGAACGGGAAGCAGUAGCCAAUGAGGCGCAAGACGGUCGGAGGGGGAGGGAGAGUGGACUGUGUGAGGGAGGGGCGCUCGGUGGGUCUCCUGAGCGCAGCCGCUGGACUUGACACGCGCUGUCGCUGCUUGGAGCCUAGUCUCCCUGUCUGUAGCAGCUGCCUCUCCUCCGCUGCCAGCUCCCAGGGCGAGACCCGGGAGGAGGGCGGGCGGGGGUUUGUGGAUGGAGAACAGUUUAAGGCGCCUCUCUCCGCCUUGGCUUUUCCCUCAGCUGGCGGGGAGUGGGGGGUGUGGCGAAGGAGGCACUGUCCAACUCUACUUCUGCUGGUUGUAAUUAAGGACACUUCCAGCCUGCUGCUAUUUUUUGGUAGAAUUCAGUCAUGUACAGUGGUACCUCUGGUUACAUACGCUUCAGGUUACAUACGCUUCAGGUUACAGACUCCGCUAACCCAGAAAUAGUGCUUCAGGUUAAGAACUUUGCUUCAGGAUGAGAACAGAAAUCGUGCUCCGGCGGCGCAGCAGCAGCAGGAGGCCCCAUUAGCUAAAGUGGUGCUUCAGGUUAAGAACAGUUUCAGGUUAAGUACAGACCUCCGGAACAAAUUAAGUAACUAACCUGAGGUACCACUGUACUGAGAAAUUCAUACAGUGCAAGUAAAGUUGAGUUGAUGAUGUUGCACAACAAGCCCAUUCCCAACCAUUCCAAAAUCAGACUUUUGGUAAUAAGGAAACUGGGCAUGCAAUGGAAAUUGCAGGAUUAACUUGCUUGAUGUAACAUACAGUGGUGUAGCAUGGGUUGUCAGCACCCGGGGCAAGGCAAAUAAUUUGCGCCCCCUAACCCGUGGAUUUUAGUAGGGGCAGAGAGCUGCGAGUGCGAGUGCGCCCCCCCGAUGUUGCGCCCAGUGCGGCCGGCCCCCCCUGCACCCCCCACGCUACGCCACUGGUAACAUAUACAUCAACAUAACAUUGUUGUUGUUGUUGUUGUUUAUUCGUGUCCGACUCUUCGUGACCCCCUGGACCAGAGCAUGCCAGGCACUCCUGUCUUCCACUGCCUCCCACAGUUUGGUCAAACUCAUGCUGGUAGCUUCGAGAACAUUGUCCAACCAUCUCGUCCUCUGUCGUCCCCUUCUCCUUCUGCCCUCCAUCUUUCCCAACAUCAGGGUCUUUUCCAGGGAGUCUUCUCUUCUCAUGAGGUGGCCAAAGUAUUGGAGCCUCAGCUUCACGAUCUGUCCUUCCAGAAACCAAAGGCUGAUUUCCUUCAGAAUGGAUAGGUUGGAUCUUCUUGCAGUCCAUGGGACUCUCAAGAAUCUCCUCCAGCACCAUAAUUCAAAAGCAUCAAUUCUUUGGCGAUCAGCCUUCUUGAUGGUCCAGCUCUCACUUCCAUACAUCACUACUGGGAAAACCACAGCUUUAACUAUACGGACCUUUGUUGGCAAAGGUGUGUGCACUAUGUGUGCACUAGUUCCUUGCAAAUCCCUGUUUCAGCUGGAUUUAUAAGAUCCCAAAGCUGUUUCAGUCACUGAAGGGCAAUUGGUACUGGCACAUUAAACAACGUGGAUGUUCCUGUGUUCCAGAGUACUUGGGUUCUCCUGAGCAGAAACAAUUAGGAAGGGUUCCCUUUCAAAUAUUGUGAUCUGUACCCACCCCAAACCUUUGCAGGUGCCUGUUGGAUAGGUAAAGCUAGUUUUUCUUGCCAAGAAAUGCCCAUGGACAGGCACCUGCUGGUUUGUAGGUGCUAAAGUGAAUUAGUUACACACCCAAGUCAUGAUGAGGCUGUGGCGGAAAGUCCAACUAUCAACCUUCCUGCAUCUCAGUGGAUUACGUCUUGUGGUUCAGAACUCUGUGUCUCACUCUGCCACUCCUAAUGGCACUUGUGCAUCUGCUACCUGAGGCAGCCCCUUCACUUUGCCUCAUGAAUAGCCACCUCUGAAUAGAGAUGGGCAGUCUCUUAUCCCUUUAUUGGAGGUGUGGCAAUGAAUUAAGUCGAAUACAUAGCUGCUGGCCCUUGUCUUCCAGUACUGACGCCAGUGCCUGGCUAGCAGCUUCAUGUACUUCUUGCUUUCAGAAUUUCCUUGCAAAGGAAGAUUCCAGCAGGAAAUCCCUUGACCAUUUGCCCUCCCAUUCCAGAUACAGUGGUACCUCCGUUUGCUGACGGGAUCCGUUCCAGAGGUCCGGCCGGAUCCUGAGGUUUUCACAACCAGAGAGACUGCUUCCGCACAUGUGCGCUCGGCAAAAACCCGGAAAUAUACUUCUGGGUUUGUCACUUACGUAUCCCGAAGUUUACGUAACCAGAAGGAUAUGUAAGCGGAGGUACGACUGUAUAGCUAUCUUGGGUAACACUGAGAGUGAGAAAGCUAAUCGCAGUUCUGACACUCUUGUUGCUGGCAGUGUCUUGUGUGACACUCAUACUGUGGCUGUGUCGCCGAAGGACCCGGAUGAGAUGGGCAGCCUGGCGCGGCCUAUGAAUUGCUGAGGAGCCUUGAGAGGAGAGUGAGGGCAACCAUAGAGAAAGCAGUUCAGAGAGAAGAGGAGGAGGCGGAGGCACGGGCAGGUGUUCCAAGGGCUACAAGGGAAGGACCGCAAGUGCUUCUCCCAUAGAUUUGUAGUGGUAGACUAGCAUAGUUUACUUCGGGCGCUAUUCCCCCCCCUUCCUCCCGCCCCACCUGAUGGAACCGAGAGCUGCAGAUGGAGCACGAGAGAAAAGAUACAGAACUGCAGCAGCAUCUUCGUAGCUUGGACUUUGUUUUGCGCGAAAAGUGGUUGCUGCUUGUAGUUAUUUAAUUGCAGUGUUUCAUCAGCUGGUGUCUUGAGCAGCAACCUCUGGAAACGAAGGGCUAAAAACCGGCGCUGCUCUCCAAAAUUAUCUGGUCCCUUUUAACUUCGCAUUUCAGCUGGUUGACUAAAAUCCCUUAUUUGGGCUGCUGAUCCCUUAUUUUCGAGGCUGCUGGUCCCUUAUUUUCAAAUCUGUAAGUUGACAGCUAUGUUCAGAAAGAAGAAACAGAAAUAGCAUUCCUUAAAGUUAGCUGUAUGAUGGGAAAGUAGCCUGACUUCCUAUGAGCUACCUUAUUGUUUCUUGCACGUUAAUUUGAGCUUGGCAGAUCCUGUGCCUGUUUUUGCACGGACCCCUCUUUCAGUUCUUCUGGAAAAAAUCCGCCCCCUGAUAUUUCUCAGGUCUCUAUGGGCUCUGUUGAAUUCCUGAUCCAAAAAAGGGGAAAGGGAAGCUUCGCUUGAUGGAGGGAGGGAGAAAGGGGAUCUUUUGAGACAAGAUGCCAGGGCCCCAAAGAUGCCAGGGCCCUCCUGCUGCUGCUGCCUUAUGGGGCGAGAGAGGGAAAGGGGAUCUUUUGAGACAAUAUCCAAACAGCUCCUUUAACCAAACACCUGAUUCACCCAGCAGCUUGGCAGCCAAAGAAGAGAAAAGAAAAAAGUGGCAGAGGCAGCUCCCAGACAUCUCCAUGCAGUAAACAGUGACCCCGUGUGGCCAUUGCUGGAAUAGACAUCGACAGGAAAAUGAACAGUGACCCCGUGUGGCCAUUGCUGGAAUAGACAUCGACAGGAAAAUAAACAGUGACCCCGUGUGGCCAAUACUGGAAAAGAAAAGACAUCAAAAGGAAAAUAAACAAUGACCCUGUGUGGCCAGUACUGGUAUAGAAUUCA